UAAGAAGAAGCAUGUUUGCUGGCCGUUGGCGAAGAUUUCAAGUUAUGAUGUGGUUGGAUGGCGGGUUAGGGUUAGGGUUAAACUUGUGGUUGGUUUCUUUCAUCGAGACUAGGUAUGGAGUGCUAGUUCUACAUUUACUAUGUGUUAUUGCAGCUCGACGCCGGAUUGUCAAAGAAGCAGAUCCUUAAAACAGGUCCAUCUUUUCCCUUUCCAUUGCAUUUCUUUGGAAAGGAAGAAAUCGCUCAGAGAGGAGCCGCGAUACGCAGUAAUUCUACGAAUAUACUAUAUAUAGGGAGUGGCUGUAAUGAAGCUUCGCACAAGAGCUACUGGACCGUAUAUCCGUUAGAUAUUUGACAGAUAUAAUACCAGCAAAAAGGCGGGCCAUUCUCAAACCGCUCCUACCAACCUGACCGGCGAGGCAAUAUCCAGGGAGAGGUAUCAAUCCCUCCACUCCGCUGUGGUACAUCGUGCGCAGUUCAUGGAUCCAAAUCAAAAUAUCGCAUCCCAAAUAAUCAACCACGUACACAGCCCAACGGUCCCCCAGAAAACUGCUUGGGCGGUACUCCGCCGCUCGGUAGCCCGCUUGAGAUCUUUAUUGGCUUGCCCUACAUUGGUCUCCGUAUUGGCUGCGUCCGAGACAAGCUGGUUGAUGAAAUCCUCCUGCGUGGACAAAUGCAUGACCAGCGUCUGCUGCAGGGAGGAAAUCUCCAGAAGUGAUUUCUCGGCAGUCCUAUGAUUGAUAGCUUUUUCAUUAGAGUGGUCUGCCAACAUAGGAUUCUUCAAGGCUUGUUGAAGACAAUCUCGAAGGAGCGGCACCAAUGGGGUAAAAUAAAUAAACCAGUGGAAACGAGUGGAAAGAAUCGCAUACUUUACUUUACCCAGAGUAUCUUCAUAAUGCUUCAGCAGUCCGUCGUUCUCCUGCGCGAAUAGCUGCAGUUGCUCCGGUGACAGCUUCGAUUCAAUUUCAGCCUUCUCUUUCUCGUCAAUCACGUCUGGCAGGAUAUCAGAAGCAGUCGGACGAUCCCGCAUCGACAACCCUCCUCCGUCACUGCCUGGCCCGAAACCACCUGCACCCACUCCGGGGACACUACUCAUCUUAUGCAAGACGCUCUUCUCCUUCUCCUUAAUCCGCUCAAUCCUCUUUUCCACCAUUCCCCUCUGCACCUCUGCGACGCCCUCCAACCGCCCUCGCAACCACCACAGCACGUUCUCCCGUAUCGUUUUCAACGUCCUCUCCGUCUCCUCCAGCCGUCUCUGCUCUGCCGAGCCCGUGCCACCGGUCUCUACCUGACCACCACCAGCAGCCCACUUCCACAGGGCGCUGUUCUUAAAAUCGAGCCCGAAUUUCUUGCGCAGGAGUGUCGACUGCAUUUCUUGGCGCAGGGUUUCGGCUGAGGCGAGGUUGGCGAUUGAGCUGGAGAGGUCGCGGAGGACGAGGGCUGUGGAGGAGUCGAUUGUGUCGCGGUCUGUGUCGGUUAGGUGUUGUUUUUGGGCUGGUGGUGGUUGGGGAGCUGUGGAUGUUGUUGAUGAUGGGUGGUGAUGCGAGCGGCCAUUGUGGGGGAACGGGGCUCGCGGUGUGGUAGUGGAGAGAUACGAUUGUCGGAUAGACUUUAGGUAGGUGAGGAGGGAGGUUAUAUGGGAGUUCUGUCCAUCAUAUCUUCUAUGUCAGUUUCAAGGAGCUCAGUUGGACAUACAGAUAGAUAGAUAUGUAUAGAUAUGGCGGAGACAUGUAGCAUUCCUCUCGCCCUUCCUCCCCAUUCUCUUAUCGUUUCAUAGUUAUCUUCGUUUUACAUACUAUUCUAUACGCCUCCUUCAAAAACUCAUCCAC
rnacentral:sRNA from 2 species